GAUGAACGCUGGCGGCGUGCCUAAUACAUGCAAGUCGAGCGAACAGACGAGGAGCUUGCUCCUCUGACGUUAGCGGCGGACGGGUGAGUAACACGUGGAUAACCUACCUAUAAGACUGGGAUAACUUCGGGAAACCGGAGCUAAUACCGGAUAAUCUCUUGAACCGCAUGGUUCAAUAGUGAAAGACGGUUUUGCUGUCACUUAUAGAUGGAUCCGCGCCGCAUUAGCUAGUUGGUAAGGUAACGGCUUACCAAGGCAACGAUGCGUAGCCGACCUGAGAGGGUGAUCGGCCACACUGGAACUGAGACACGGUCCAGACUCCUACGGGAGGCAGCAGUAGGGAAUCGUCCGCAAUGGGCGAAAGCCUGACGGAGCAACGCCGCGUGAGAGAUGAAGGUCUUCGGAUCGUAAAACUCUGUUAUGAGGGAAGAACAAAUGUGUAAGUAACUAUGCACGUCUUGACGGUACCUAAUCAGAAAGCCACGGCUAACUACGUG
rnacentral:rRNA from 1 species